rnacentral:rRNA from 1 species
UGCAUGUCGAGCGGUAGCACAGAGAGCUUGCUCUCGGGUGACGAGCGGCGGACGGGUGAGUAAUGUCUGGGAAACUGCCUGAUGGAGGGGGAUAACUACUGGAAACGGUAGCUAAUACCGCAUAACGUCGCAAGACCAAAGUGGGGGACCUUCGGGCCUCAUGCCAUCAGAUGUGCCCAGAUGGGAUUAGCUAGUAGGUGGGGUAACGGCUCACCUAGGCGACGAUCCCUAGCUGGUCUGAGAGGAUGACCAGCCACACUGGAACUGAGACACGGUCCAGACUCCUACGGGAGGCAGCAGUGGGGAAUAUUGCACAAUGGGCGCAAGCCUGAUGCAGCCAUGCCGCGUGUGUGAAGAAGGCCUUCGGGUUGUAAAGCACUUUCAGCGGGGAGGAAGGCGAUAAGGUUAAUAACCUUGGCGAUUGACGUUACCCGCAGAAGAAGCACCGGCUAACUCCGUGCCAGCAGCCGCGGUAAUACGGAGGGUGCAAGCGUUAAUCGGAAUUACUGGGCGUAAAGCGCACGCAGGCGGUCUGUCAAGUCGGAUGUGAAAUCCCCGGGCUCAACCUGGGAACUGCAUUCGAAACUGGCAGGCUAGAGUCUUGUAGAGGGGGGUAGAAUUCCAGGUGUAGCGGUGAAAUGCGUAGAGAUCUGGAGGAAUACCGGUGGCGAAGGCGGCCCCCUGGACAAAGACUGACGCUCAGGUGCGAAAGCGUGGGGAGCAAACAGGAUUAGAUACCCUGGUAGUCCACGCCGUAAACGAUGUCGAUUUGGAGGUUGUGCCCUUGAGGCGUGGCUUCCGGAGCUAACGCGUUAAAUCGACCGCCUGGGGAGUACGGCCGCAAGGUUAAAACUCAAAUGAAUUGACGGGGGCCCGCACAAGCGGUGGAGCAUGUGGUUUAAUUCGAUGCAACGCGAAGAACCUUACCUGGUCUUGACAUCCACAGAACUUUCCAGAGAUGGAUUGGUGCCUUCGGGAACUGUGAGACAGGUGCUGCAUGGCUGUCGUCAGCUCGUGUUGUGAAAUGUUGGGUUAAGUCCCGCAACGAGCGCAACCCUUAUCCUUUGUUGCCAGCGGUUAGGCCGGGAACUCAAAGGAGACUGCCAGUGAUAAACUGGAGGAAGGUGGGGAUGACGUCAAGUCAUCAUGGCCCUUACGACCAGGGCUACACACGUGCUACAAUGGCAUAUACAAAGAGAAGCGACCUCGCGAGAGCAAGCGGACCUCAUAAAGUAUGUCGUAGUCCGGAUUGGAGUCUGCAACUCGACUCCAUGAAGUCGGAAUCGCUAGUAAUCGUAGAUCAGAAUGCUACGGUGAAUACGUUCCCGGGCCUUGUACACACCGCCCGUCACACCAUGGGAGUGGGUGCAAAAGAAGUAGGUAGCUUAACCUUCGGGAGGGCGCUACCACU